AAGGCAAUGAAUGUUUUUAUUUGUUAAUCCACAUUAGCAGCAACACCAGAAAAAUCAUUAACCACCCCACCUAGCAUUGAAACUGACUCCACUUAUCGCUUCUUCUUUUUAAAUUAUAAUGUAAAAAUGAAUUGCAAAAUAUAUUUUAUUUGAACUUACUGAAGUCAAAAUCAUAGGAACCAGAUAUUUAAAUAAAGUUUAAAUCUAAAGUUUAUAUUUUAAACAUAAAAUUUAAAUCGUUUGUUUUGAAAAGUAUAUCCUUGAAAAGUAUUUUGAUAUAGAUGGGAAGAUUUUCAUAGACUGGCAUCUAUUUUUCCACCUACUGUUUAAUGAAGUAAACUGUUGAAUGAUGUAAACUGUUAAAUGAAGUAAACAGUUAAAACUGAUGACAUAAAAGACAAGCAAAGCGAAGGAAACAUUAUGAAUGUAUUCAGUAACUUCUGUUGGAGAUUAUGUGUUAUAUAUGCACAAUUCUAGUUAUUUUUCAAUCAAUGCUUUAUAGGCAUAAAUUGAAAUUACCUGAUAUUAAAAGUUUCUGAAAUUCACUAUAGAAAAUACACAUGAGCAUAAACAAAUGAGGAUAUUCUCUCUCUCCUGUGAAAAAAAUGUGUGGGUAAUAUAUUACAUUACAGAUAGAAAUUGUAUACUUGAAAUAACCAUAAAAGACUUAAAUAGUAUAUGGAUACUAUUUUCAGCAAAAUUGUUUCAUAUUUAAAUUUAAACUUUUAGUUAUUUUUUCAUGUGUCUAAUGCAAGAUUUCUAAAAUUUUCAUUUUUUACUUUUUAUAAUGUUAACUGAAAAGGAGGGAGUGCAUUUAACAUAAAAACAGAAGAUGAAUCCUGAGAUUUCUCAUAAAUGUCUUAAUGUCCUAGAGAUGUGGGCACUUGCUCCAUAGUAAAUUAUGGAUGCCACGUUUUACAAAAUCCUUACUGCCCCUUUGAAUUGUGUCCUUCCUCCAAGAUAAGAAGCUAUGACUCAAUUGUUCAACAUGGAAUUAUAAUGAAAAGCCUUUCUAGUUCUAUCUUUCCCUAAAUGGGCUCUAUUUCUUGUAAUUCACAUGACACUCUUUGGCUGUGGCUGUCUGUUAAAUUUCCUGUUUUGGACUAGUUUCAGCAAACCAAAACAAAUAGCUCACAGAAAAGGCAAUGGUAACUACUUUUUUUUUUUUUUUUUUUUUUUUUUUUUUUGGUAUUUUCAGUUAGAUUCUUUC
rnacentral:lncRNA from 1 species